GAGCAAAGCCCUCACACUCUUCAUGGCCCUCCGUGUGGGCCCUGGGCCCGAAGGGGUCAGAGGAGGCCUCCUGCUCUUUCCUCUGCAGCUAUCACUGCCCUGGUUGACGCCCAAGUGCACAGGCCUGACGGGACAGAGAGCGAUGAAAUGAAGAAAGAGGUAAAAAACAGAAACGAACAAAAAAACUGACAGAGUAAUCGAUGUACUUCUGCACCCUUCUUUUGUUAUAAAGCCCCAGAAUUGUCAAAGUUAAGCUGAGAAAACAGAGGCCUGAAGCAGCUUCGUGACCUACUUGAGCUCUCAGAGCUACUCAGUGGCUGAGACAGGUUGGAGACACACCUUCCAGGAGGACCCCAAACAAGAAGGCUGUGAUCGCGUCCUACAGAUUCUGCGUCCUCUCUAUGCGAUCCCUCUUCUUCACCUCCAUGCCAUGGCCGUAACCCAGGCUCACCUCACCUUUCACCUGGAC